GGGGUUGUGGCUCAGUGGUAAAGCACUUGCCUAGAAUGUGUGAGGCACUCAGUUCGAUUCUCAGCACCCCA
rnacentral:tRNA from 1 species